rnacentral:rRNA from 1 species
AGUAACGGCGAAUGAAGCGGGAAAAGCUCAAAUUUAAAAUCUGGCAGUCUUUGGCUGUCCGAGUUGUAAUCUAGAGAAGCAUUAUCCGCGCUGGACCGUGUACAAGUCUCCUGGAAUGGAGCGUCAUAGAGGGUGAGAAUCCCGUCUUUGACACGGACUGCCAGGGCUUUUGUGAUGUGCUCUCAAAGAGUCGAGUUGUUUGGGA